rnacentral:tRNA from 1 species
UAAGGUGUAGCCCAAAAUUAAAGGCGUUUAACUGUUAAUUAAAAGAUGCACUCUGUUGCCUCCUUAA